rnacentral:rRNA from 1 species
GAUGAACGCUGGCGGCGUGCCUAAUACAUGCAAGUAGAACGCUGAAGGAGGAGCUUGCUCUUCUGGAUGAGUUGCGAACGGGUGAGUAACGCGUAGGUAACCUGCCUGGUAGCGGGGGAUAACUAUUGGAAACGAUAGCUAAUACCGCAUGACAACAGUUAUUGCAUGAUAACUGUUUAAAAGGGGCAACUGCUCCACUACCAGAUGGACCUGCGUUGUAUUAGCUAGUUGGUGAGGUAACGGCUCUCCAAGGCGACGAUACAUAGCCGACCUGAGAGGGUGAUCGGCCACACUGGGACUGAGACACGGCCCAGACUCCUACGGGAGGCAGCAGUAGGGAAUCUUCGGCAAUGGACGGAAGUCUGACCGAGCAACGCCGCGUGAGUGAAGAAGGUUUUCGGAUCGUAAAGCUCUGUUGUAAGAGAAGAACGAGUGUGAGAGUGGAAAGUUCACACUGUGACGGUAUCUUACCAGAAAGGGACGGCUAACUACGUG